GAGGUUGGCUUAGAAGCAGCCAUCCUUUAAAGAAAGCGUAACAGCUCACUGGUCGAACGUGGUUUCGCGCCGAAUAUUCGACGGGGCUCAAGCACGCCGCCGAAGCUGCGGAUUGCCACGCCUUGAGCGUGGCGAUGGUAGGGGAGCGUUGGAGUUGCCGAUGAAGGCCGACCGUAAGGACGACUGGAGGCCCUCCAAGUGAUGAUGUUGGCACGAGUAGCGAUAAACCGGGUGAGAAACCCGGUCGCCGAAAACCCAAGGGUUCCCUGGCAAGGGUAAUCCGCCAGGGGUUAGUCGGGCCCUAAGCCGAGGCCGAAAGGCGUAGGCGAUGGAAAACAGGUUAAUAUUCCUGUACCACUUCGAUGCGAUUGAAGCCAGAGGGGACGGAGAAGGGUAGGCCUCGCCGGGUGAUGGAAGUCCCGGUUCAAGCCCGUAGGGUGUUCCUCCAGGAGGCACAAUGCCACAAACGGAGGGACGUUAGCCCGAGAGGUGAUGAGCGUGUCAAUGCUUCGGCAGCGAUACGACGAGCUGAUCCCACGCUUCCAAGAAAAGCCUCGGGUGGACAAUUCGGAGUGCCCGUACCGGAAACCGACACAGGUGGGUGGGGUGAGAAACCCAAGGCGCUUGAGAGAAUCCUCCUUAAGGAACUCUGCAAAUUGCCACCGUAACUUCGGAAGAAGGUGGGCCUGGCUUGGUGUAGGGACUUGCUCCCGAAGCUUCGCCGGGUCGCAGAUAGCAGGGGGUAGCGACUGUUUAACAAAAACACAGCACUCUGCCAAGUCGUAAGACGACGUAUAGGGUGUGACGCCUGCCCGGUGCCGGAAGGUUAAGGGGAGAUGUCAGGGGCAACCCGAAGCAUUGAACCGAAGCCCCGGUAAACGGCGGCCGUAACUAUAACGGUCCUAAGGUAGCGAAAUUCCUUGUCGGGUAAGUUCCGACCUGCACGAAUGGCGUAACGACUUCCCCACUGUCUCGAGGAGGAACUCAGCGAAACUGGAGUCUCGGUGCAGAUACCGAGUUCCCGCGGCAAGACGGAAAGACCCCGGAACCUUUACUGCAACUUGGCAGUGAACCUCGGGCGUGCAUGUGUAGGAUAGGUGGGAGACGUUGAAGCGGGGGCGCUAGCCUCCGUGGAGUCAACCUUGAAAUACCACCCUUGUGCGUCUGAUGUUCUAACCCGCGCCAGUGAGCCUGGCGGGGGACACUGCCUGGUGGGUAGUUUGACUGGGGCGGUCGCCUCCCAAAAUGUAACGGAGGUGUGCAAAGGUUCCCUCAGCCUGAUUGGAAACCAGGCGGCGAGUGCAAAGGCAUAAGGGAGCUUGACUGCGAGACUUACAAGUCGAGCAGGUGCGAAAGCAGGUCUUAGUGAUCCGGUGGUUCCGCAUGGA
rnacentral:rRNA from 1 species